rnacentral:tRNA from 1 species
GACCCUGUAGCUCAGUUGGUAGAGCAGCAGCCUUUUAAGCUGAUGGUCGUGGGUUCGAGCCCCACCGGGGUCA